CAGUCGCCGCGGGAAUACGAAGGGUGCAAGCGUUAAUCGGAAUUACUGGGCGUAAAGCGUGCGUAGGCGGAUUGUUAAGUCUGUUGUGAAAUCCCCGGGCUCAACCUGGGAAUGGCAAUGGAUACUGGCAAGCUAGAGUGUGUCAGAGGAUGGUGGAAUUCCCGGUGUAGCGGUGAAAUGCGUAGAGAUCGGGAGGAACAUCAAUGGCGAAGGCGGCCAUCUGGGACAACACUGACGCUGAGGCACGAAAGCGUGGGGAGCAAACAGGAUUAGAUACCCCAGUAGUCCCUGUCUCUUAUAA
rnacentral:rRNA from 1 species